AUUGAACGCUGGCGGCAGGCCUAACACAUGCAAGUCGAGCGGAGCGGCGGACGGGGGAGUAAUGCCUAGGAAUCUGCCUGGUAGUGGGGGAUAACGUCCGGAAACGGGCGCUAAUACCGCAUAAUAUCAGAUGAGCCUAGGUCGGAUUAGCUAGUUGGUGGGGGAAAGGCUUACCAAGGCGACGAUCCGUAACUGGUCUGAGAGGAUGAUCAGUCACACUGGAACUGAGACACGGUCCAGACUCCUACGGGAGGCAGCAGUAGGGAAUAUUGGGCAAUGGGCGAAAGCCUGAUCCAGCAAUGCCGCGUGUGUGAAGAAGGUCUUCGGAUUGUAAAGCACUGUAAUUUGGGAGGCGUUAUCAACAGAAUAAGCACCGGCUAACUUCGUGCCAGCAGCCGCGGUAAUUC
rnacentral:rRNA from 1 species